GACGAACGCUGGCGGCGUGCUUAACACAUGCAAGUCGAACGGUGAAGCGCUUGCCUUUUUGGUGGGUGUGGAUGAGUGGCGAACGGGUGAGUAACACGUGAGUAACCUGCCCUCUUCUUCUGGAUAACCUCAUGAAAGUGGGGCUAAUACGGGGUAUUCCGGGUCUGUCGCAUGGCGGGUUUGGGAAAGAUUGCGCCUUUGGGUGUUUUCGGUGGGGGAUGGGCUCGCGGCCUAUCAGCUUGUUGGUGGGGUGAUGGCCUACCAAGGCGGUGCCUGGUAGCCGGCCUGAGAGGGUGGACAGCCACGCUGGGACUGAGACACGGCCCCGACUCCUGCGGGAGGCAGCGGUGGGGAAUAUUGCACAAUGGGCGCAAGCCUGAUGCAGCGACGCCGCGUGAGGGAUGGAGGCCUUCGGGUUGUGAACCUCUUUCGCCAGUGAAGCAGGCCUGCCUCGUUUGUGGGUGGGUUGACGGUAGCUGGAUAAGAAGCGCCGGCUAACUACGU
rnacentral:rRNA from 1 species